GCGCGGGUGGCGAAAUGGCAGACGCGCCGGAUUUAGGUUCCGGUGUCACAGACGUGUGGGUUCGAGUCCCAUCCCGCGUACCA
rnacentral:tRNA from 1 species